rnacentral:rRNA from 1 species
UAGGGAAUCUUCCACAAUGGACGCAAGUCUGAUGGAGCAACGCCGCGUGAGUGAAGAAGGGUUUCGGCUCGUAAAGCUCUGUUGGUAGUGAAGAAAGAUAGAGGUAGUAACUGGCCUUUAUUUGACGGUAAUUACUUAGAAAGUCACGGCUAACUACGUGCCAGCAGCCGCGGUAAUACGUAGGUGGCAAGCGUUGUCCGGAUUUAUUGGGCGUAAAGCGAGUGCAGGCGGUUCAAUAAGUCUGAUGUGAAAGCCUUCGGCUCAACCGGAGAAUUGCAUCAGAAACUGUUGAACUUGAGUGCAGAAGAGGAGAGUGGAACUCCAUGUGUAGCGGUGGAAUGCGUAGAUAUAUGGAAGAACACCAGUGGCGAAGGCGGCUCUCUNNNCUGCAACUGACGCUGAGGCUCGAAAGCAUGGGUAGCGAACAGGAUUAGAUACCCUGGUAGUCCAUGCCGUAAACGAUGAGUGCUAAGUGUUGGGAGGUUUCCGCCUCUCAGUGCUGCAGCUAACGCAUUAAGCACUCCGCCUGGGGAGUACGACCGCAAGGUUG